rnacentral:lncRNA from 1 species
ACAUGACCCAGUGCAAAUGCACAGAGAUUCAAACAUUCCCUGGCAGAGGAGCAAGUGAAAUGCUGGUGGGUGCAACGAACCCCUGGGGAUCGAGCUGCAGGGACUUGGGUCCUAGGAACAAGCAAAGCUUCAGCAUUUUAAUUCAGGGUGGAGAGCAGCUACAAUGGCAUGGAUGCAGAGAGGUUGCCAAGGAAACAGACGUGUUUUUCCUCCGCUGUGCAGUGAAGCACAUACUCCAGACAUCCAUACAGCCUCAUUACCACUGCAUCUGAAUACCUCACAGUCAUUAAUAAUGAAUUUUACCCUUGUAACACCCCUGUCAUAGAGAAGCAUUUUGUCCCAUUUUUAAAGGAACAAGGGUGAACGGAGUGACCCACCUGCCCUGUCAUGCCUCCACUCUCAGCUGACUCAGACGCCUGAAAUCUGAGCAAUGUCAGAACAGUUGUACCGGCCAUCCCACCAGUGUUGUGACUUGCACAUGGGCCAACUCUUAGGGAAGAAUGGGUAGAUAACAAAAUGCCAGCUCCUGGUAAACUUGGAAGAGCCCAGUCACAGGUAAAUACAUGUAGAUCACUCGCUGUGUUACCUAAUGCUCAGGCUGCAUUUUCCUCACUCUUUGUUUUCAUUGUAUUUUCUACACUAUCACAUGCUCUGAAAACUUUGUUCUUAUUAGAAAAAAAAAAAAAAAAGUUAGUACAAAUAUGAUUUCUUAUUAUUCUUACAGUAGAAAUCGCUGUGCUGAUACAUGCACUGUUUAGAUUCCUAGUGAAGAUGAAAUGAUGGGGAUCUGGUGAUGUAAGCUGCAGAGGAAACAUUGUACCAUGAAAACACAGGCUCUCGGUCCCUUUUAGGAAACCUAGAGUUAAGUAGCAUGAGCACCAGAAAAAAGUAAAUAAUGUUCCACAGUGAGAAAAGCAGUCCAUCAUGGUUUCAGGAAUUACGAUAGGUUCAAAGUCGCUGCCUUGAGUUCUGUGUGUCUAAGCAUGUCUGAAAAGCUGCUUUAAAAGCCUACCAGCUUGGCCACAAAACAGGAGAGUUCCCUCAGAUGAGGCUGAAUUGCGUACUGCGAGCUGUGGAAAGGAGGAACAGCAUGUUACGUUCUGUCAGGAUUGGGCUCGUUUGUCAGAGGUACAUUAACGAGGGUAGAUUGUGUGGUUUGGACAUACAGGUAACUAAGCCUUGAUUUGCUUACGUGGUUAAAGAUGGCACUUUCAUCAUUAUUACCACAGACUUGACUUCUAUAGGCCUCAGAAAGGGACAAUCACUGCUUCUUAAAACCACCUUUGAAGAUAUCCACUGUCCUAUCCCACCUUUUUGUAUAAGUGAACUUAUUCACCUGCCUCUAAGAUCUCAGAUUGUUCUCAAAUUUAAAAUAUGACCAAGCUGUAAAAAGAGAAAUAAGUAAAUAAAUAAAUGUCAGAGAACA